GUCCGAUUAGCUAGUUGGUGGGGUAACGGCCCACCAAGGCUCCGAUCGGUAGCUGUUCUGAGAGGAAGAUCAGCCACACUGGGACUGAGACACGGCCCAGACUCCUACGGGAGGCAGCAGUUGGGAAUCUUGGACAAUGGGGGAAACCCUGAUCCAGCCAUGCCGCGUGAGUGAUGAAGGCCUUCGGGUUGUAAAACUCUUUCGCGCACGACGAUAAUGACGGUAGUGCGAGAAGAAGCUCCGGCUAACUUCGUGCCAGCAGCCGCGGUAAUACGAAGGGGGCUAGCGUUGUUCGGAAUUACUGGGCGUAAAGCGCGCGCAGGCGGCUAUCCAAGUCAGUGGUGAAAGCCCGGAGCUCAACUCCGGAACUGCCAUUGAAACUGUUUAGCUUGAGUAUGAGAGAGGUGAGUGGAAUUCCCAGUGUAGAGGUGAAAUUCGUAGAUAUUGGGAAGAACACCGGUGGCGAAGGCGGCUCACUGGCUCAUUACUGACGCUCAGGCGCGACAGCGUGGGGAUCA
rnacentral:rRNA from 1 species